rnacentral:misc_RNA from 1 species
GCAAACUUGGUCAUUUAGAGGAAGUAAAAGUCGUAACAAGGUUUCCGUAGGUGAACCUGCGGAAGGAUCAUUAUUGAAUUUUCAUCUGCUUUGGUUGUUGCUGGUCGUCCCUUGGGGCUUCAUGUGCACGCCGGGCUCUUGAUUAUAUCCACCUGUGCACCUAUGUAGUUCAGCAACAAGAGCAUAUUCUGCAGUAAUUUGUGGAGAUGGCGGAGUUGAACACCCACAUGUGUGGGUGCUCUCUCUGUGGCUCGAAGCUGUUCUAUGAUUUAUUCACUCUUGUAUGUCUAUGAACGUCCUGAUUUUGGUCGGAAGACCUCUAAUCUUAACACAACUAUUGACAACGGAUCUCUUGGCUCACGCAUCGAUGAAGAACGCAGC